rnacentral:rRNA from 1 species
AACGAACGCUGGCGGCAUGCCUAACACAUGCCAGUCGAACGAGACCUUCGGGUCUUGUGGCGCACGGGUGCGUAACGCGUGGGAACCUGCCCUUAGGUUCGGAAUAACUCCCCGAAAGGGGUGCUAAUACCGGAUAAUGUCUUCGGACCAAAGAUUUAUCGCCUUUGGAUGGGCCCGCGUUGGAUUAGCUAGUUGGUAGGGUAAAAGCCUACCAAGGCGACGAUCCAUAGCUGGUCUGUGAGGAUGAUCAGCCACACUGGGACUGAGACACGGCCCAGACUCCUACGGGAGGGAGCAGUGGGGAAUAUUGGACAAGGGGCGAAAGCCUGAUCCAGCAAUGCCGGGUGAGUGAUGAAGGCCUUAGGGUUGUAAAGCUCUUUUACCCGGGAUGAUAAUGACAGUACCGGGAGAAUAAGCGCCGGCUAACUCCGUG